AAAAGUUUCAAUCUGAUUGCAGAGCUCAAAGUGCUCCUUCCCAACUGUGAGAGCUGUGGGUCUACAGGAGUCAGAAGCCUGUGAGCCCCCCUACUGUCCUGAGGGUUUGUUUUUCCCUCUCUCUAUUUCCAGUGGCUCAGUGGGCUGGAAGGAUUGGUCCUUUUCUUUCCAGGUGACUGGAUGCCCUCAGACUGGGGAGAAGGGUUGAAAUGCAUUCAAUCUGUGUCUCACUGUGGACAGCAGAACAUUCUUGGUUCUCUGCCCAGCCUCUGAAAGACCUGGGAUGCUACACGAAGCUCUCGGAGCCCGGUGUGCUUCAGGAAAUAGAGGGCUCUGGAGCCCAGGCCACUGGGGUCCACCCACCCCUGAUGAGGGUGGGCCUCACAUUUCCCAUGAGGAGGGUGUGCUGGGAGGCGGAAGUCGCCAGGAACAGCACCUGCGUGCGUUGCUCAUCACUGGCUCCCUCUCUGCCCUUCCGCUCCCUGUUCAGCAUGGUGGACCUUCUAAGAAUCUCUCCCCACCACUCAGCCCCACACAGGCACCUGUACUCCCUGCCGAGGUUGUACCCUUCAAACUCUUUUCCCGGGGAGCAGUGUUCUCCUCCCUUCUUGGAUGUGGGGAGGGAGGGGCAGCUACUGUGGCUGCCCAAACUAGGCUGUCCCUGGGUCGCCUCACAACCAGCCUCCCUUUGGAGGAAAUUGCAUGCUCCAGUUUCUGCAUGAAGAAACUGAAACUCAGAGCGGCUAGCCCACAGCCACAGUGCUGGGAGGCAGCAAGACAGCAUUUAAAUUGAGUUCCCAUUGUGGCUCAGUGGUUUAAGAAUCAGACUACUAUCCAUGAGGAUGCGGGUCUGAUCCCUGGUCUCUCAGUGGGUUUAGGAUCUGGUGUCACCAUGAACUGUGUGUAGGUUGCCGAGGCAGCUCAGAUCCUGAGUUGCUGCGGCGUAGGCCAGCAGCUGUAACUCCGAUCUGACCCCCUAGCCUGGGAACUUCGAUGUGCUGCAGGUGCAGCCCUAAAAAGAAAAAAGAAAAAAAAAAGCAAUUCUCUUUUUAAGCUGUGACAUUAAGCAGCACUGCGAAAGCCAACAGUCAUAUGUAUGUAGGUGGAAAGUUCGAAAGAUAUCAGCUGGCUUCUCCAAUGCAGUUAUCUGUCAACUUUCCCCCUAAAAAAAUUGGUUGUCAGCGUCCAGGAGUAGUGUUUGCUGUGGCGAUCCCUGCCACCUACAAAUGUGCGCUGACCACAUGGCAGGGGCGCUGGGUGGUCACGUGGUCGGUGUCCUGGUCAGUGUCAGGAAGAUCGCCAUGCUUCUUUUAGCUUUAUCCUGAGACUAAGAAUAGAUGUGCUUAUCAUGUGAGGCACGCUUCUCAUUUAGCUCAUUUAUUUCUCAUAAAGAAAGGUAGAGGCAAUCCGACCAUCCCACUUCAGCUGGGAAACUGGCACAGAAUAAUCACGGCCCUGGCCACUCAGCCGGUGAGAGGGGAGAUGGGACCGGAAGCCCGCUGGUUCCAACCAGCCCUCCUCACCCCCUGCGGUAUCACCGGCUUCUUCUUUGAUGCACUGCCUGUGUUUUCUGUUUCCAUUACUCAGCAGUUUAAGGAUAUAAGGUGUCAAAAACCUGUUCGUCAGAGUUCCUUCUGCGGCACAAAGGGAUUGGCAGCAUCUCCGCAGCACCAGGAUGCUGGUUCGAUCCCCGGCCCGCACAGUGGGUUGGAGGGAGGAUCCCUCAUUGCCACAGCUGCAGUGUAGGUUCCAACUGUGGCUCAGACCCGCUCCCUGGCCUAGGAACUCCAUAUGCCACAAGAUGG
rnacentral:lncRNA from 1 species